UUAUUUCGAUUAUCAUUUCAUUCGCUGAGUUUUCCGAUAGUACCAAAGCUGAGAAGUGGGGUCCGUACAAUAAUUAGAGAAGUGUUACAAGCAAUAAAAAAGCAACCCCAAAAGGCUUCCAGCAUGUAUACGGAUUCCUUAAUUCCCAUUAUAUUAACCGGUUCAUAUGUGUUUUACCAUAACAUACUUUGUAUACUUCACUGCAACAACACCAUCCCUCUCACAAGAUUACUAGAAACCCUUUUCGAAGAACCGACCACUCACUCAAAGCUCCAAAACCACUCAGCAUGAAAGGAUCACCGCGAGGUAUGCACACCUCACUGGUCCAUCCGUCCAACCAUAGGAAUCAAAGCUUUACACCACUACGAAAAAGACAUGUGGAGAGCUAAUCUCUCAAGACCACAAGAAUGUCUCUUCUUCGAGGCAUUUUCACGCAUUGUUAUAAUUCUCAACCUGCUCGGAUACUUCAUCCCAAAGAGGUUAGCCCUGUUCGUUGUUAGAUCGCGGCGGUAGCGUCUAGCGACAGAUUUUACAAAGCAAAAAAGAAAAACUUAAACGGAAAGAAAGAAGAAAAAUGGAAGAAAUCCUUGUUUUCAUGUCGCAGCCAAGAGAGAGAAAGGAGGAACACUGACGCUAUUUAAUUUGGCGACACAAAUACCACCGGAUUCCGUCAGAAUAAUUGACGCUGCGUUCUCUGUUUUAACACUGGCGGCAAGUUAAGCAAAAAAUGAUGAACAAUUUCCAGCCGCUCAUGUCAAUUGCUGCGAUCAACUAACGAACAGGGCUGUUGAGAUUCCCUUCAAACCAUCAAUGCCUGCUUCUUCAGAAGUGUAAAAAGCUUGCAUGAGAGAGAUACCACGGAUCAAAAACAGUCUUGAUGCUAAACAGAUUAAUCCACUGGUUAGUGAAAUUGAAGCUAUUUACUGACCUUCUUUUAUAUUACUUACUAAAUUGGGGAUCUGUUUUGUUCCAUGUAUGUAAACAAACUGAUCUCGCUGCAAUGGGGCAUCUUCAAUAUUUGUGGAUUGCACAAUGGAACAAAGCAAGAAGAUACUAUAACGGUCAUGAAAUGCAGGGAACAGAGGACAAUCUUUUGGAACAGGUGGAAUUCAAAGGGUAGAUAAAGCCUAGCUUUACAUCUCUGGCGGUUUGAGCCGUAAACCUCCUUAUGGCUAGCUCAGUUUCUUAAGUUUAUUACUUUCUAUGUCCUUUACAUUCGAACUGCGUAUUGCAAGUUUUUGCUUCUUCGGAUUUUCAAAACACUCCACCUUUUGAGGGCAACCCUACCGACCAUGUGGGGUUAAAAAGGCCUACUUAAAUCCUUAGUUAGGAAUAAAGAUGCCCGGUUUGGAUUCAUUUUUAUUACUGGAAGAAUCUUUCCAAAAGGUGUGAAGAACCUAUUCAUAUCGAUCCCUGCUGAUAAAGUCCUUCUACUCAGUAGAGCUUCUGGAGGCUUGUAAGACAGUGAGAAUCUGAUGCCUUUCUGCCAUUAAGCACAUGCUGAAAAAGGAAUGGAUCGUAGCAAAAAAAAAAAGGAAUGGAACAAUAGUUUUUUUUUGGCUAAGAAACCCGAAGAGAAGAUACUUGAACCGACUGAGAUGGUGAAAAAUAAAGUUGCAGUGGAAGAUUGGUCAAAGCAAAAACAAAAGUUCUGUUUGGUAAUUGAAGAAUAAUAAAGAUAGAUCUCUACCGAAUAAAAAUCAAUGAAAAGAAUAUAAAUGGUUAUGUAUAUACUUGUAUUUAUAGAGAAAAUAGAAUAAUAAUAAAGGAGAGAGUAAAAGUUAGUCGUGUGAUUUUGAUGAGUAAAGAAGAAAGUGAUCUUCAUUAUUGUUGUA